rnacentral:rRNA from 1 species
UACGUAGGAUGCAAGCGUUGUCCGGAUUUAUUGGGCGUAAAGCGUGCGUAGGCGGUUCGCAAGGUCCGAGGUCAAAGCGUGGGGCUCAACCCCAUAGGUGCCUCGGAAACCGGUGGGCUAGAGGAUGGCAGAGGAAAGUGGAAUUCCCAGUGUAGCGGUGAAAUGCGUAGAUAUUGGGAGGAACACCGGUGGCGAAAGCGGCUUUCUGGGCCACACCUGGACGCUGAGGCACGAAAGCUCGGGGAGCAAACGGG